GCGCUGGCUCCUUAUUUCACCCAAGAGCUUGUAAAGGAGCUCAAAAACGGCCCAUACACCCUUGUUACGGAUGGGUCAAAUGACACAGGAGCGCAAAAGAUGAACCCGCUUACUGUCCGGGUCUUCGUGGGAGGCAAAGUUGUCCACCAAUUUUUGAGCAUGUGCACAACAAGUGGGAAGACAUGUGGAACAGCAAGCGAGAUCUUCGCCAAAAUUAACUCCACCCUAGAGGAGCAUGGUAUCCCUUGGGAGAACUGUGUUGCUCUCUCAGUUGACAAUGCAGCUGUGAACAUCGGACCACACAAUUCAAUCGCCUCUAGGGUGCUCCAGAAACACCCCAACGCCUACAUUCAUGGCUGUCCUUGUCAUGUGGCACAUAACACUGCCAAAGCUGCAGGAGGGGGAUUUUUUAAAGUGUCUGGUUUUGAUUUGGAGGACAUGGUCGUGGACAUCGGUUACUGGUUCAAAGGUAGCACAAAUCGUA